rnacentral:rRNA from 1 species
UGCAUAUCCAAUUUAACGGAGGAAAAGAAACCAACAGGGAUUACCUCAGUAACGGCGAGUGAAGCGGUAACAGCUCAAAUUUGAAAUCUGGCUCUUUUAGUGCCCGAGUUGUAAUUUGUAGAAGAUGCUUUGGGCGUGGCUCCGGUCUAAGUUCCUUGGAACAGGACGUCAUAGAGGGUGAGAAUCCCGUAUGUGACUGGGUGCCUUUGUCCGUGUAAAGCUCUUUCGACGAGUCGAGUUGUUUGGGAAUGCAGCUCAAAAUGGGUGGUAAAUUUCAUCUAAAGCUAAAUAUUGGCCAGAGACCGAUAGCGCACAAGUAGAGUGAUCGAAAGAUGAAAAGCACUUUGGAAAGAGAGUUAAACAGUACGUGAAAUUGUUGAAAGGGAAGCGCUUGCAACCAGACUUGCAUGUGAUUGAUCAUCCGAGGUUUUCCCCGGUGCACUCGAUUACGUUCAGGCCAGCAUCGGUUUGGGUGGUUAGAUAAAGACUUAGGGAAUGUAGCUUCUUUCGGGGAGUGUUAUAGCCUUAGGUGCAAUGUAGCCUACCCGGACCGAGGACCGCGCUUCGGCUAGGAUGCUGGCGUAAUGGUUGUAAGCGACCCGUCUUGAAAACACGGA